rnacentral:rRNA from 1 species
UACGGAGGGUGCAAGCGUUAUCCGGAAUCACUGGGUUUAAAGGGUGCGUAGGUGGCCCGAUAAGUCAGAGGUGAAAGCCCGUCGCUUAACGAUGGAAUUGCCUUUGAUACUGUUGGGCUUGAAAUAGGUUGAGGUAGGCGGAAUGUGACAUGUAGCGGUGAAAUGCAUAGAUAUGUCAUAGAACACCGAUUGCGAAGGCAGCUUACUGGACCUUAUUUGACGCUGAGGCACGAAAGCGUGGGGAUCAAACAGGAUUAGAUACCCUGGUAGUCCACGCCCUAAACGAUGCUUACUCGAUAUCUGGGCUUCGGUCUGGGUGUCCAAGGGAAACCGAUAAGUAAGCCACCUGGGGAGUACGCGCGCAAGCGUG